rnacentral:rRNA from 1 species
GACGAACGCUGGCGGCGUGCUUAACACAUGCAAGUCGAACGGUAAGGCCCUUCGGGGUACACGAGUGGCGAACGGGUGAGUAACACGUGGGUGAUCUGCCCUGCACUUCGGGAUAAGCCUGGGAAACUGGGUCUAAUACCGGAUAGGACCACUGCCUGCAUGGGUGGUGGUGGAAAGCUUUUGCGGUGUGGGAUGGGGCCGCGGCCUAUCAGCCUGUUGGUGGGGUGAUGGCCUACCAAGGCGACGACGGGUAGCCGGCCUGAGAGGGUGACCGGCCACACUGGGACUGAGAUACGGCCCAGACUCCUACGGGAGGCAGCAGUGGGGAAUAUUGCACAAUGGGCGCAAGCCUGAUGCAGCGACGCCGCGUGAGGGAUGACGGCCUUCGGGUUGUAAACCUCCUUCAGCACCGACGAAGCGCAAGUGACGGUAGGUGCAGAAGAAGGACCGGCCAACUACGUGCCAGCCGCCGCAGUAA